rnacentral:rRNA from 1 species
CAAGGGAUCGUUUGGUUCUCGUGACGAAGAAGGGCGUUGCAGGAUACGAAAAGCAUGAGAGUAGCGACUAUGAUCAUGUGUGCCUGAAUAGUGUUAGAUACUAACACGGAUACUCCUUGGAAUUAAGCAUAUGAUUAAAGGAAGGAAAAGAAAACAACAGUGAUUCCCAUAGUAGCGGCGAGUGAACAGGGAAGAGUCCAAUAGUGUAAAUCUGAAAUUUAUUUUAGAUGUUGUCAAAGUAUCAUUAUACAAGAAUAAUCAUAGUAGAAAUAUCUGGAAAGAUAUACUAUAGAGGGUGAUAGUCCCAUAUAUUAUGUUGUUCUUGUAUUGAUGCGAUAUGAGUAGUUGUGCUUGGUAAUGCACGGUGAAGAGGUGGUGAUGUUCAUCUAAGACUAAAUACAGCGAGAGACCGAUAGAGAAUAAGUAGGACGACCGAAG